CCUACGGGAGGCAGCAGUAGGGAAUCUUCCACAAUGGGCGAAAGCCUGAUGGAGCAACGCCGCGUGGGUGAAGAAGGUCUUCGGAUCGUAAAACCCUGUUGUUAGAGAAGAAAGUGCGUGAGAGUAACUGUUCACGUUUCGACGGUAUCUAACCAGAAAGCCACGGCUAACUACGUGCCAGCAGCCGCGGUAAUACGUAGGUGGCAAGCGUUAUCCGGAUUUAUUUGGCGUAAAGGGAACGCAGGCGGUCUUUUAAGUCUGAUGUUAAAGGCUUCGGCUUAACCGGAGUAGUGCAUUGGAAAACGGGAGACUUGAGUGCAGAAGAGGAGAGUGGAACUCCAUGUGUAGCGGUGAAAUGCGUAGAUAUAUGGAAGAACACCAGUGGCGAAAGCGGCUCUCUGGUCUGUAACUGACGCUGAGGUUCGAAAGCGUGGGUAGCAAACAGGAUUAGAUACCCCAGUAGUC
rnacentral:rRNA from 1 species